GACGUAGGGCGCGAGCGUUGUCCGGAUUUAUUGGGCGUAAAGAGCUCGUAGGCGGCUUGUCGCGUCGUUCGUGAAAACCCGGGGCUCAACCCCGGGCUUGCGAUCGAUACGGGCAGGCUGGAGUUCGGUAGGGGAGACUGGAAUUCCUGGUGUAGCGGUGAAAUGCGCAGAUAUCAGGAGGAACACCUAUUGCGAAGGCAGCUCGCUGGGACGUAACUGACGCUGAGACGCGAAAGCGUGGGGAGCAAACAGG
rnacentral:rRNA from 1 species